rnacentral:misc_RNA from 1 species
GAACGCACAUUGCACCCUCUGGCACCCAGGGGGUAUGCCUGUCCGAGCGUCGUCACGACCCUCGAGCUCCCCGGAGCUCGGCGUUGGGUGCGGCCCCGAUCACCGGGGCCCUCCCCAAAACCAGUGGCGGCCGUGGCCCGGUCCCGAGCGCAGUAGACUUCUCUCGCUCAGGGGCCUGGGCGGCGUGCCGGCCAGCAAGACUUCAGCCACACCAAAGGUUGACCUCGGAUCAGGUAGGAGCACCCGCUGAACUUA